rnacentral:snRNA from 1 species
AGAGGGUGUUCAAAUCUGUCACCCUAUUCAUUGCAAGGGUUGAUUUGGAUUAUCUAGCUAGUUAGGUGGGUGACCCCUUCCUCCUUCACUGUUCCAUGUGUAUCCCUCCCAAAGCCAAAAGAAGACAAACUUCUCAGACAGAGGACCCAUCUUUGGUCAAGAGUACAUGAGUAGGGUAGGCAUGGUAGUGUACACCUUUAACCCCAGGCACUAGGCAGGUGGAUCUCUGUGAGUU